GAUGAACGCUGGCGGCGUGCCUAACACAUGCAAGUCGAGCGAGAAAUAUAUAAUGGAGGCUUCGGCCGAAGUUAUAUAUUGAAAGCGGCGGACGGGUGAGUAACGCGUGGGUAACCUGCCCUAUACAGGGAGAUAACAACGAGAAAUUGUUGCUAAUACCGCAUAAGCGCACAGUAUUGCAUAAUACAGUGUGAAAAACUCCGGUGGUAUAGGAUGGACCCGCGUCUGAUUAGCUAGUUGGUAAGGUAAAGGCUUACCAAGGCGACGAUCAGUAGCCGACCUGAGAGGGUGAUCGGCCACAUUGGGACUGAGACACGGCCCAAACUCCUACGGGAGGCAGCAGUGGGGAAUAUUGCACAAUGGGGGAAACCCUGAUGCAGCAACGCCGCGUGAAGGAAGAAAGUCUUCGGAUUGUAAACUUCUAUCAGCAGGGAAGAAAAUGACGGUACCUGACUAAGAAGCCCCGGCUAACUACGUGCCAGCCGCCGCGGUAAGAC
rnacentral:rRNA from 1 species